rnacentral:lncRNA from 1 species
AUGGCAGGGCCUCAGGGCUACGAGUCAAGGACGGCGUCCACAGUGUCCAGGGGGAUGGCGUCCACAGUGUCUGGGGGGGAGCACUCCACAGUGUCCAGGGGGGGCGGCGUCCACAGUGUCUGGGGGGAGCACUCCACAGUGUCCAGGGAGGGGAGCACUCCACAGUGUCCGGGGGGGACAGCAUCCACAGUGUCCAGGGGGACGGCGUCCACAGUGUCCAGCCCUGGAGCUCACCGCAGCCCCACGUGCAGCAGGUGCCCGUGGGGGUGUCGCCCGGCCCCGCUGACCCCGCUCACCGCACGGCUGCCCCGCGCCCUCAUGGAUCUCACUGCCCGGGAGCGGAUCUGGUGUCAGGAGCUCCGCCUGUCCGUCUUGGGGGGCACCGCAGUGACUAAUCCUGCGCCCAGGGAGGACCCUCCCGGAUUGGCCCACCUCCUGCCUGCCGGGAACUGGCUGUGGUCAGAGGCAGGAAGUAAUUGGAUAGUGGUCCUGUGGCCCGGCCCGGCCCCGCCCCACAGCCCCCCUCCCGGUUACACAAGCGACCGCCUCACUCCUUGGCAGCAACUCUGGCUCUGCCCGGACGGCUCCUUGACCCCUCACUUCCCCGGGACUUGGGGUGGGCGUGGGCCCCCCUCACCCCGCUGUGGCUCGGGGCCAGGACUGGCCUGGAGCCCACAGCUCCUGCCCCACAGCUCCCGUGGCCUGCUGGGUUCUGGCCUCUGUGGCUCGGCCCGUCUGAUGGUGCAGGGGUGUCCACCUUCAUGCCUGGGGGUGCCUACUGGGGACGGCUCCUGCCCGUGAGGAGGAGGACAGACUGGACCGAGACGCAGGGCUGGGGAGGCUGUGAGGUCCCCAGCCCUCUCCUGACACGGGCAGAGCCACACUGGUGCCUGGUGUGGGACUCAUGGGCAGGGACGCCCGGCCGAUUCCAGGGAACUGGGAGACGGGGUGAGGUCAGCCCCUCGAGGGCGGGGGCAGAGGGCAGCCGGAGGGGCCGAGCCUCAGCCUGCGCACAGCUCCCACCGGGCACUGGACACGCGGUCCCUGCCUCCAGUGGCCAGCACGAAGUGGAGGAAUACUGAGCCUGCCUUGGGCCGGUCCCUAGCAAGGUGCUGGACACGAGGGGACAAAAACCUGCAGGGGACACACGGAAAACCCAGCUGAGCAGCGGGGAGCCUCUGGCAUGUGUAGCCGGCUGGGCAGAGGGUGCCCAGGUCCCAGGUUGCAGGGGGACGCAGAGGACCGGGGAGAGCCACGGGGCGCUGCGCACGCCGCCAGGCCACACGGACGGAACCGCCGGGGCUGCAGCUGCCGGCGUCUUUGCAGGAAGCUGGCCAAGGGGCAGACAAAGGUGCUCAAAUAUCCGGGUGAUUCGGACAGCAGGGAGGGGCUGCCUGCAAGCUGGGGGUGGGGGCGGCUGCCCAGGGGCUGCACCCAGGCCAGGAGCCCACUGGGGGCGUUGGGAGACCCCAGCCCCAAGCCCAGCCGUGGGAGCUCAGCUUGGGCGGAUGGCGUUCCCCCUGCAGGGAAGGGGACACGGCGGUCACCCAGGGCGGCUGAGUAAGGGGCCCCAAGAUGGAGCUUCCGGCUGCCAUGGAGGAUGGGGCCCAGGCUGACCCCAGAUGCGACGACAGCAGCAGGGGCCAG